rnacentral:rRNA from 1 species
AUACGGGGGAUGCAAGCGUUAUUCGGAAUCAUUGGGCGUAAAGGGCACGCAGGCGGUUCUGUCAGUCAGAUGUGAAAGCCCGGGGCUUAACCCCGGACGUGCAUUUGAAACAGCAGGACUUGAGUAUGGUAGAGGAAAGCGGAAUUCCUGGUGUAGAGGUGAAAUUCGUAGAUAUCAGGAGGAACACCGGUGGCGAAGGCGGCUUUCUGGACCAAAUCUGACGCUGAGGUGCGAAGGCGUGGGUAGCGAACAGGAUUAGAAACCCCGGUAGUCC